CCUCCUCCUCCGAGCCGGCGCUCCUUGCACCGUGGCAUUUUGAGUUGGCUCAGGGACCAGAUCUUCAACUUUCACUCUAGUCAAGAUGCCCCAGUGAGUGGGAGAGGAGGAUGGGGGUCCAACUGAGUUCCUCUGGGGUCACACUUUUCCUUCCAAGGUCUCCUACAACCUUACUUCCAGGCAUUUCAGAACUAAAGACAGCAGCAGAUGACCUGCGCUUUCCUGGCAUUUAGCUUCUUAACAUCUGGGAUCAUAAACUCCUCAUCUCUAGAGCAUAAAUGCUAGCACACAGCUCAAAAAAUGUUCAUUGGGAUACAGUGAAUUUCCCUGAACCGUGGUUUGCUGACCAAGCUCACUGAUGGUGGAGGUGAAAUCACCAAAUAGUAUUCUAAAAGCACUAGAAAUUUUAGAAAUAAAUGAGUUGAUCUGCUAUUGAUCUGCUUUAUUUAUAAGCAGAAUUCCUUAUCAUAAAAAGAAAAUAUACAACACAGCACAUUUUAUGCUAAAAAUUAAAACAGGUAUGUUUAUGUUUAAAAAAAAGGUACCAUAGAUUUUUGUUGAAACAACCUUGUGCUUGAAACUACCAUCUAAACAAAACAACAUACAGAAUACUUCACAGUGAGAUUUGACUGUAUAUUAAAAUUAGCUCUAAGAAUUUAAGACUAUGGUUUUGAUUUGCCACUUGGGGGAACAUAAUCACGAUUAAAUAAAGUCCCUUUUGUCAUGGCUUUUAUCAUGUGAGAACAGUGCUUUUGUGUUAAAUAUUUUUUAAGUGUCCCUACUCAAUAAAUUAAAUACUUCUAUUGU